rnacentral:sRNA from 2 species
GCUUUCACUUCCACUCUUCCAUCUCUUUCUCUACUUUCUAUUGAAUGAGUGUCUGUCAUUCAUUUUUAUAGAGAUUCAGAUGCUCACUUCACUGUUUUAUCUGCUUUCAUCUUAUUCUUCUCCACUCUGAUUGAUUUUUCUCUGUAUAUACAUUCUCAUUGUUUUAUUGAGCUUUCUGUGAAUCUUCUCAUUGAGAAUAUCAAAUCAGUACAUCAGGCUUUUUAUGAGAUGGAGGUGUGCUCUGCAUUUCUAUACACUUGUCUUGAGAUCUUGAAGUUCUUGAUGCAGAUUAAGUUUUAAUUUUUGUUGUAUAUAAAUUGUUUCUGAAGAUGUUGAGCUGAAGUGUUUCAUUGAUGUAUAUCUUUUUCUUUUCUUUGUUCUUGCAAUAUUCAUGUAUUUUUAGAAAUCAGGCAA